GUGCCAGCAGCCGCGGUAAUACAGAGGUCCCGAGCGUUGUUCGGAUUCACUGGGCGUAAAGGGUGCGUAGGCGGUGGGGUCAGUCUGAUGUGAAAGCUCGCAGCUUAACUGCGAAAUGGCAUUGGAUACUAUUCUGCUAGAGGCUUGGAGGGGGGACUGGAAUACUUGGUGUAGCAGUGAAAUGCGUAGAUAUCAAGUGGAACACCAGUGGCGAAGGCGAGUCCCUGGACAAGACCUGACGCUGAGGCACGAAAGCUAGGGGAGCAAACAGGAUUAGAAACCCUCGUAGUCC
rnacentral:rRNA from 1 species